rnacentral:lncRNA from 1 species
ACAGAGGCAUGGUUUGCAUAUCCAUCAUAGUUCAUGACUGACAAUCUAGAGGUUGGAGCUAACAUUGAAAAACAUAUUGAUUAUUAUGGGACCAAGUGUUUCCCAGAUCUUCUGAUUCAAAGACCUACUACAUCCUAGACAGGGCUCCAGGUGUUAGAGAGGGGCGUAUGGAGUAUUGAGACCUACUGCGUGUGCAGACCGGAUGAAGGGCUGUGUUAAUGACUACAGCAGAAGCAGUGACCCAGAGAAGGUUGGUGAGAUGAACUUCGUCGAAGUUCUAUUGCCUGAGAAAGAAUCAAGCUGUGGUGGGAGACCCAGCGAUUGCUUUGGA